GAUAAACGCUGGCGGCGUGCCUUACCAAUGCGAGUCGAACGAGGUCAGGUUUCGGCCUGGUCGAGUGGCGCCCGGGUGCGUGACACGUCGGUGACCUACCCCGCUGUGGGGAAUACCCUGCCGAAAGGUGGGCUAAUACCGCAUGCGAUCCCCGGUCGAACGGGGAUGAAAGCCCGCAAGGGCGCUGUGGGAGGGGCCGGCGGCCUAUCAGCUUGUUGGUGGGGUAAUGGCCUACCAAGGCGACGACGGGGAGCCGAUCUGAGAGGAUGACCGGCCACAGUGGGACUGAGAUAUGGUCCACAGCCCUACGGGGUUUAGCAUGGAGGAAUCUUGCGCAACAUCCGAAAGGAUGGCGCAGCAACGCCGCGUGAGGGACGAAGCCGUUUGCGGUGUAAACCUCUGUUGCUCGGGAAGAAGUACCGCGGGGGAGAGCCUCACGGGAAGACGGUACCGGGCGAGGAAGCCCCGGCUAACUACGUGCCAGCAGCCGCGGUAAUACGUAGGGGGCGAGCGUUAUCCGGAUUUAUUGGGCGUAAAGCGCACGCAGGCGGGAUGCAACCGUGGUGUGUGGAAUCUCCCGGCUCACCCGGGAGGGGUCAUGCCAUACGGGCAUUCUUGAGGCAAACAGUGGGUCGCGGAACGGGCAGAGUAGGGGUGAAAUCCGCAGAUACUGUCCGGAACACCAGAGGCGAAGGCGGCGACCUAGGUUUGAGAAGCGGUCGCGAGACCGUCCUGACGCUCAGGUGCGAAAGCGUGGGUAGCGAACGGAAUUAGAUACUCCGGUAGUCCACGCCCUAAACGAUGGCCACUCGGUGUCGGGGGUAUCGACCCCCUCGGUGCCUUAGCCAACGCGGUAAGUGGCCCGCCUGGGGACUACGGCCGCAAGGCUAAAACUCAAAGGAAUUGACGGGGCCCCGCACAAGCAGCGGAGCGUGUGGAUUAAUUCGAUGCAACGCGAAGAACCUUACCCAGGCUUGACAUGGCGCUGGUAGGGAGGGGAAACCUGACCGACCCGCAAGGGAGGCGUCACAGGUGCUGCAUGGCUGUCGUCAGCUCGUGCCGUGAGGUGUUGGGUUAAGUCCCGCAACGAGCGCAACCCCCGUCUCCAGUUGCGUUUUCUGGAGAGACUGCCGGGAGAACCCCGGAGGAAGGUGGGGACGAAGUCAAGUCCGCAUGGCCCUUACGUCUGGGGCGUCACACACGCUACAAUGGCCGGGACAAUGUGUUGCGAUCCCGCAAGGGCAAGCUAAUCCCCCAAACCCGGCCUCAGUACAGAUUGUCGGCUGCAACUCGCCGGCAUGAAGGCGGAGUUGCUAGUAACCGCGCGUCAGCAUAGUGCGGUGAAUGCGUUCCCGGGGCUUGUACACACCGCCCGUCACACCACGAAAGUCGGCAAGACGCGAAGGCGCUGGGCCAACCCCUUCGGGGGAGGUAGGUGACGAGCGUCGGGUUGGUGAUUGGGGUG
rnacentral:rRNA from 1 species